rnacentral:ribozyme from 1 species
UGCCCAGCAACUCCUAUUCCUACCUCCUUGCGGUACCGGCCGGAAACUAUGAGCAACCUUAGGGAAGA